UUUAGAUCAGUGCUGUGCGGC
ensembl:piRNA 21ur-2721 ncRNA